AUGGGCGUCGGCCCUUCCGUCGCCGACGGCGGCGACACCACGGCGGUGACGGGGUCCAUCAGCGAGGUGCCCAAGGUGUCCGGCACCCACGAGUUCACGAUCCGCGAGUACAGCCGCACCAAGGGCAUGGGCGUGGGCAAGUCGAUCCUGUCGCAGUACUUCUCCGUCGACGGCCGCCGCUGGUACAUCCGCUUCUACCCGGACGGCUACAGCACGGCCGACGGCGCGUGGGUCGCCUUCUACGCGCAGACGCUCUACAAGCCGCAGUUCCGCCCCGUGCGCGCCGAGUUCACCUUCCAGCUCCUCGGCCCCAACGGCGACGUCCGCCACACGCGCCGCUCAGAUCGCGCCUGCAAGUACGACACCUUCUGCAACAGCUGGGGCAUCCGCCGCUACAUCACCCGGGAGCAGCUCGAGAGCGCGGCGCUCGGCGCCAUCCACGCCGACUCCAUCACCGUGCGCUGCACCGUCACGAUCCACCUGGCGCGGAGGAGGAGCCUCGCGAUCAACCGCCCGGGCCUCGUCCAGAUGCCGCCGCCGCCGCCGUCCAACCACGGGGAGAACGCCCUCAGGUUCCUCGCCGGCGGGAAGGCCCCCUUCGACGUGCGCUUCGACGUGGACGGCGAGAUCUUCGAGGCGCACCGGAUGGUGGUGGCCGCGCAGUCGGCGUGGUUCGAGAGCCUCCUCUACGGCCACGGCCGCGAGGCGGGCAAGGACGUCCUCGAGGUCGGCGGCGGCAUUGUCACCGCGGAGGCGUUCCGGGGCGUGCUCCACUUCAUCUACACCGACGAGCUGCCCCCCGAGGCCGCCAAGGGGAGGGGGUCGUACGACCUGACGCUGCGGCUGUUCGAGGCGGCCGACUACUACCUCAUCGAGAGGCUGAAGCUGAUGUGCGCGUGCAGGCUGGGCGACUUCAUCAAGGACUCCACCGUGGACGAGCUCAUGGAGAUCGCGGAGGACUACUCGUGCAAGGACCUCGGGCAGGCGUGCCGGAACUUCGCGGCGCGCAGGGGCCUGAGUUUGGCAGCGAUAAAGAGGAGAUUAUUGUCCAGCGGCGCUGCUCCGGCGACGAGGAGGAUCAUGGACGUGCCGGCUCCGUCGACGAGCGGCUGA
rnacentral:rRNA from 1 species